rnacentral:rRNA from 1 species
UACGUAGGGUGCAAGCGUUGUUCGGAAUUAUUGGGCGUAAAGCGGAUGUAGGUGGCUUAUUAAGCCAGGUGUGAAAGCCCGGGGCUCAACCCCGGACGUGCAUUUGGAACUGGUAGGCUAGAGUGUGUUAUGGGAGUGUGGAAUUCCUAGUGUAGCGGUGAAAUGCGUAGAUAUUAGGAGGAACAUUCGUGGCGAAGGCGAUGCUCUGGGGCAACACUGACACUGAGAUCCGAAAGCGUGGGUAGCAAACAGG